rnacentral:hammerhead_ribozyme from 1 species
AUCCAGCUGAUGAGUCCCAAAAUAGGACGAAACGCGCGUCCUGGAU